rnacentral:lncRNA from 1 species
GUUAAUAAAAAAUAUUCCCUUAAUGCUCUCUGAGAUUCUUAUCUUAGGGUCCAAAGACUGACCAAUGAAAACUUCAUUUGAGUAGCAUACUCUAUUCAAAGACAGGCUACAGUAAUAGACUAAUCCCAUUUUCUUCCCUACAGAAAUGAAGUAAAGGCAUUUGGAAGGAGGAGUGAAGCAGAAUUGUUCCAAUCAUUGGGGAUUCAGCAGUGAACAAAACAGACACAAUUCCUUGGUUUCAAGAUACCUGCAUUCUGAUAAAACGUGUGAGACGAUAAUAACCAAGGUUGUGUCACACCUUUUCCUGAACUUUGGCUCAAUUGAAGAAGGAAACUUUCAGGGGAAUUCCAAUAGUAAACAACAGAACCAGCAGUUUUACAAUAAACUGCAGAGCUCCAUUUCAAAACACAAAAAUAGAGCGUCUCUGCAGUGAUGUACUGCCUUAAGGAAGGACUCGUUUCUAUCGAACUGCUCUUUCAGUUGUGCCACUGAUGU